CUACAGAGGGUGCAAGCGUUAUUCGGAAUUACUGGGCGUAAAGCGCGCGUAGGCGGAUGAUUAAGUCAGUUGUGAAAGCCCUGGGCUCAACCUAGGAACUGCAUCUGAUACUGGUCGUCUAGAGUUUAAGAGAGGGAAGUGGAAUUCCAGGUGUAGCAGUGAAAUGCGUAGAUAUCUGGAGGAACAUCAGUGGCGAAGGCGACUUCCUGGCUUAAAACUGACGCUGAGGUGCGAAAGCGUGUGUAGCGAACGGGAUUAGAUACCCCAGUAGUCC
rnacentral:rRNA from 1 species